rnacentral:lncRNA from 1 species
GUUAUAUAUAUAUACACACACACACACACGAUAAAAAGGAAAAAACCCACUCACCUGAGAUCUGUGCUAAUACUCCCUAGGACGAAUAUCAAGACGUCACGAAUGAUUAUCACCUAGAACAUAUGUUCCAUCACAUCUCAGAACUCUUAUCAAUAAAACACGUAACUUACAUAAAACACAUGCCAAGGGCAUUCUAGAAUGAUUUAAGACCCAUUGACCAAAAGUCAAUUGUCUGUCAAAGAUCAACGAUAGGGUCCACAACCCUACAUAACUCAAUCUGGAAGAUCCGCACCUCGGAUUUCUUAUCUGUAACUUUAAAAGAUCCACAUUAUAAUUCUAGAACAUCAUACUAAAGUUUCAUUACGUUCCAACGGUUGGAUCUCCGCCAAUUGCUUAUUUAAGUGACAGUCAACGUUUUAUUUUACAAACUUACAAAUCCAAUUUGGGAAGAUCCGUGCGUCAGAUUAUCAAUCCAUAAGUUUCUAAUAUCCUCAAAUAGUAUAUACUAUAAUGUAUUAAAGUUUGGUAAUGAUCCAACGGUCAGAUCGUCAAUUCACAUAAUGUUCAAGUAGCAGUCUUUAACAAAACUAUGUUCAAACAAUGAGAUUUCAUCAAUCGGACUUCACCUAUGGAAUUGGGGUGUCAAACUUAGGUCAGGGGGUGACUCAGCUCACGCGCCACCGCACACAGCGAUCGGCAACCCCGAUUCUCCGAAAAAUUCAACUAUCUCCAAAAACUCUCAAAUUCUAUAGAAAUGAAGAUCUCUAAUAGUAGAGCAUGUUUUAUCCCUAUGGCCAAGUCCAAUUUGGCCGAGAAAGGCUUCAAUUUCACUCAAACCUGCCGGAACCCUAAAAUGGGUGAACUUUGAUUCUCCUUCCUCGGUGUUCCAACAUCUGUACCACUGGAUGGGUCUUGUUCAUGGGUCCAAGGGAAGUUGAUUAAGGGUAGUUUUAAGUGGUGGAACUCAUCAGAUUUGAGGAGUCACCGUCG